rnacentral:lncRNA from 1 species
GUGCGAUCAUAACAGCACUAAUGCACCGGAUCCCAUCAGAACUCCGCAGUAAAGCGUGCUUGGGCGAGAGUUGUACUAGGAUGGGUGACCUCCUUGGUAGUCCUCGUCUUGCACCCCUUUUUUGUUCCUUUUAAUUCUUUGUUUUUUUUUUGGGUCUUUUCAUUUGAAAAACAAGGCAUCUUCCGAACGACACCAUUUCUAGACCGUGUGGAACCAUGCCUCCUACAGAAACUUUUCGGAAAGCCCCAAGUCUGCUCUAUGGCGUGUCCAAGGCUCUAAAGACUAUAGGUGCGGUAUACAAGGCCAAAAUUUCGAGUUUUAGACCCUCUUCUGGGCCCUUUUCUAAAACAUAAGCCCCAAUUUAGGUGUCGUCAAAUGUGGUGUCCUAACUUAUAUAUCUUGGCAUGAAUGCUGGUCGCGGCUGGGCAGGAAAAGACAUAUAAACAGUGCAACACACCCGAAGAGAUUUCAUUGCGGACUCAAAGCCAAAGGAUAUAUGCUAUUGCGAUACAUAUACUAACAGGUGCGAUCAUACCAGCACUAAUGCACCGGAUCCCAUCAGAACUCCGCAGUUAAGCGUGCUUGGGCGAGAGUAGUACUAGGAUGGGUGACCUCCUGGGCAGUCCUCGUGUUGCACCAUUUUUUUGCUCCUCUUGAUUUUUUAUUUUUUUUGGGUCUUUUCAUUUGAAAAACAAGGCAUCUUCCGAACGACGCCAUUUCUAGACCGUGUGGAACCAUGCCUCCUACAGCAACUUUUCAGAAAGCCCCAAGAGUGCUCUCGGGCGUGCCCAAGGGUCUAAAGAGCAUGGGUGCUGUUACAAGGCCAAAAUUUUGAGUUUUAGACCCUCUUCCGGGCCAUUUUCUAAAACAUAAGCCCCGGUUUAAGUGUCGUCAAACGUUGUGUCCUAACUUAUAUAUCUUGCAACGAAUGCUCGUCGCAGGUGGGCGGGAAAACCAUUUAAAGAGUGCAACACACGUGAAGAGAUUUCAUUGCGGUCUCAAAGCCAAAGGAUAUAUGCUAUUGCGAUACAUAUACUAACGGGUGCGAUCAUAACAGCACUAAUGCACCGGAUCCCAUCAGAACUCCGCAGUAAGCGUGCUUGGGCGAGAGUUGUACUAGGAUGGGUGACCUCCUUGGUAGUCCUCGUCUUGCACCCCUUUUUGUUCCUUUCGAUUGUUUUUGUUUUUUUGGGUCUUUUCAUUUGAAAAACAAGGCAUCUUCCGAACGACGCCUUUUCUAGACCGUGUGGAACCAUGCCUCCUACAGAAACUUUUCGGAAGCCCCAAGUGUGCUCUCUGGCGUGUCCAAGGGUUUAAAGACUAUAGGUGCGGUAUACAAGGCCAAAAUUUCGAGUUUUAGACCCUCUUCUAGGCCCUUUUCUAAAACAUAAGCCCCAGUUUAAGUGUCGUCAAAUGUGGUGUCCUAAUUUAUAUAUCUUGCAACGAAUGCUCGUCGCAGCUGGGUGGGAAAAGCCAUAUAAAAAGUGUUACACACGCCAAGAGAUUCCAUUGCGGACUCAAAACAAAAGGAUAUAUGCUAUUGCGAUACAUAUACUAAUGGGUGCGAUCAUAACAGCACUAAUGCACCGGAUCCCAUCAGAACUCCGCAGUAAAGCGUGCUUGGGCGAGAGUUGUACUAGGAUGGGUGACCUCCUUGGUAGUCCUCGUCUUGCACCCCUUUUUUGUUCCUUUUAAUUCUUUGUUUUUUUUUUGGGUCUUUUCAUUUGAAAAACAAGGCAUCUUCCGAACGACACCAUUUCUAGACCGUGUGGAACCAUGCCUCCUACAGAAACUUUUCGGAAAGCCCCAAGUCUGCUCUAUGGCGUGUCCAAGGCUCUAAAGACUAUAGGUGCGGUAUACAAGGCCAAAAUUUCGAGUUUUAGACCCUCUUCUGGGCCCUUUUCUAAAACAUAAGCCCCAAUUUAGGUGUCGUCAAAUGUGGUGUCCUAACUUAUAUAUCUUGGCAUGAAUGCUGGUCGCGGCUGGGCAGGAAAAGACAUAUAAACAGUGCAACACACCCGAAGAGAUUUCAUUGCGGACUCAAAGCCAAAGGAUAUAUGCUAUUGCGAUACAUAUACUAACAGGUGUGAUCAUACCAGCACUAAUGCACCGGAUCCCAUUAGAACUCCGCAGUUAAGCGUGCUUGGGCGAGAGUAGUACUAGGAUGGGUGAUCUCCUGGGCAGUCCUCGUGUUGCACCAUUUUUUUGCUCCUCUUGAUUUUUUAUUUUUUUUGGGUCUUUUCAUUUGAAAAACAAGGCAUCUUCCGAACGACGCCAUUUCUAGACCGUGUGGAACCAUGCCUCCUACAGCAACUUUUCAGAAAGCCCCAAGAGUGCUCUCGGGCGUGCCCAAGGGACUAAAGAGCAUGGGUGCUGUUACAAGGCCAAAAUUUUGAGUUUUAGACCCUCUUCCGGGCCAUUUUCUAAAACAUAAGCCCCGGUUUAAGUGUCGUCAAACGUUGUGUCCUAACUUAUAUAUCUUGCAACGAAUGCUCGUCGCAGGUGGGCGGGAAAACCAUUUAAAGAGUGCAACACACGUGAAGAGAUUUCAUUGCGGUCUCAAAGCCAAAGGAUAUAUGCUAUUGCGAUACAUAUACUAACGGGUGCGAUCAUAACAGCACUAAUGCACCGGAUCCCAUCAGAACUCCGCAGUAAAGCGUGCUUGGGCGAGAGUUGUACUAGGAUGGGUGACCUCCUUGGUAGUCCUCGUCUUGCACCCCUUUUUUCUUCCUUUUGAUUCUUUUUUUUUUUGGGUCUUUUCAUUUGAAACACAAGGCAUCUUCCAAACGACGCUAUUUCUAGACCGUGUGGAACCAUGCCUCCUACAGAAACUUUUCGGAAAUCCCCAAGUGUGCUCUCUGGCUUGUCCAAGGGUCUAAAGACUAUAGGUGCGGUAUACAAGGCCAAAAUUUCGAGUUUUAGACCCUCUUCUAGGCCCUUUUCUAAAACAUAAGCCCCAGUUUAAGUGUCGUCAAAUGUGGUGUCCUAAUUUAUAUAUCUUGCAACGAAUGCUCGUCGCAGCUGGGUGGGAAAAGCCAUAUAAAAAGUGUUACACACGCCAAGAGAUUCCAUUGCGGACUCAAAACAAAAGGAUAUAUGCUAUUGCGAUACAUAUACUAAUGGGUGCGAUCAUAACAGCACUAAUGCACCGGAUCCCAUCAGAACUCCGCAGUAAAGCGUGCUUGGGCGAGAGUUGUACUAGGAUGGGUGACCUCCUUGGUAGUCCUCGUCUUGCACCCCUUUUUUGUUCCUUUUAAUUCUUUGUUUUUUUUUGGGUCUUUUCAUUUGAAAAACAAGGCAUCUUCCGAACGACACCAUUUCUAGACCGUGUGGAACCAUGCCUCCUACGGAAACUUUUCGGAAAGCCCCAAGUCUGCUCUAUGGCGUGUCCAAGGCUCUAAAGACUAUAGGUGCGGUAUACAAGGCCAAAAUUUUGAGUUUUAGACCCUCUUCUGGGCCCUUUUCUAAAACAUAAGCCCCAAUUUAGGUGUCGUCAAAUGUGGUGUCCUAACUUAUAUAUCUUGGCAUGAAUGCUGGUCGCGGCUGGGCAGGAAAAGACAUAUAAACAGUGCAACACACCCGAAGAGAUUUCAUUGCGGACUCAAAGCCAAAGGAUAUAUGCUAUUGCGAUACAUAUACUAACAGGUGCGAUCAUACCAGCACUAAUGCACCGGAUCCCAUCAGAACUCCGCAGUUAAGCGUGCUUGGGCGAGAGUAGUACUAGGAUGGGUGACCUCCUGGGCAGUCCUCGUGUUGCACCAUUUUUUUGCUCCUCUUGAUUUUUUAUUUUUUUUGGGUCUUUUCAUUUGAAAAACAAGGCAUCUUCCGAACGACGCCAUUUCUAGACCGUGUGGAACCAUGCCUCCUACAGCAACUUUUCAGAAAGCCCCAAGAGUGCUCUCGGGCGUGCCCAAGGGACUAAAGAGCAUGGGUGCUGUUACAAGGCCAAAAUUUUGAGUUUUAGACCCUCUUCCGGGCCAUUUUCUAAAACAUAAGCCCCGGUUUAAGUGUCGUCAAACGUUGUGUCCUAACUUAUAUAUCUUGCAACGAAUGCUCGUCGCAGGUGGGCGGGAAAACCAUUUAAAGAGUGCAACACACGUGAAGAGAUUUCAUUGCGGUCUCAAAGCCAAAGGAUAUAUGCUAUUGCGAUACAUAUACUAACGGGUGCGAUCAUAACAGCACUAAUGCACCGGAUCCCAUCAGAACUCCGCAGUAAAGCGUGCUUGGGCGAGAGUUGUACUAGGAUGGGUGACCUCCUUGGUAGUCCUCGUCUUGCACCCCUUUUUUCUUCCUUUUGAUUCUUUUUUUUUUUGGGUCUUUUCAUUUGAAACACAAGGCAUCUUCCAAACGACGCCAUUUCUAGACCGUGUGGAACCAUGCCUCCUACAGAAACUUUUCGGAAAGCCCCAAGUGUGCUCUCUGGCUUGUCCAAGGGUCUAAAGACCAUGGGUGCGGUUUACACACGUGAAGAGAUUUCAUUGCGGUCUCAAAGCCAAAGGAUAUAUGCUAUUGCGAUACAUAUACUAACGGGUGCGAUCAUACCAGCAUUAAUGCAUCGGUUCCCAUCAGAACUCCGCAGUAAAGCGUGCUUGGGCGAGAGUAGUACUAGGAUGGGUGACCUCCUGGGCAGUCCUCGUGUUGCACCCUUUUUUUGUUCCUCUUGAUUCUUUUUUUUUUUUUUUGGGUCUUUUCAUUUGAAAAACAAGGCAUCUUCCGAACGACGCCAUUUCUAGACCGUGUGGAACCAUGCCUCCUACAGCAACAUUUCAGAAAGCCCCAAGAGUGCUCUCGGGCGUGCCCAAGGGUCUAAAGACCAUGGGUGCUGUUACAAGGCCAAAAUUUUGAGUUUUAGACCCUCUUCCGGGCCAUUUUCUAAAACAUAAGCCCCGUUUUAAGUGUCGUCAAACGUUGUGUCCUAACUUAUAUAUCUUGCAACGAAUGCUCGUCGCAGCUGGGCGGGAAAAGCCAUAUAAAGAGUGCAACACACGUGAAGAGAUUUCAUUGCCGUCUCAAAGCCAAAGGAUAAAUGCUAUUGCGAUACAUAUACUAACGGGUGCGAUCAUACCAGCACUAAUGCACCGGAUCCCAUCAGAACUCCGCAGUAAAGCGUGCUUGGGCGAGAGUUGUACUAGGAUGGGUGACCUCCUUGGAAGUCCUCGUCUUGCACCCCUUUUUGUUCCUUUCGAUUGUUUUUUUUUUUUGGGUCUUUUCAUUUGAAAAACAAGGCAUCUUCCAAACGACGCCAUUUCUAGACCGUGUGGAACCAUGCCUCCUACAGAAACUUUUCGGAAAGCCCCAAGUGUGCUCUCUGGCAUGUCCAAGGGUUUAAAGACUAUAGGUGCGGUAUACAAGGCCAAAAUUUCGAGUUUUAGACCCUCUUCUAGGCCCUUUUCUAAAACAUAAGCCCCAGUUUAAGUGUCGUCAAAUGUGGUGUCCUAAUUUAUAUAUCUUGCAACGAAUGCUCGUCGCAGCUGGGCGGGAAAAGCCAUAUAAAGAGUGCAACACACGUGAAGAGAUUUCAUUGCGGUCUCAAAGCCAAAGGAUAUAUGCUAUUGCGAUACAUAUACUAACGGGUGCGAUCAUACCAACAAUAAUUCACCGGUUCCCAUCAGAACUCCGCAGUAAAGCGUGCUUGGGCGAGAGUUGUACUAGGAUGGGUGACCUCCUUGGUAGUCCUCGUCUUGCACCCCUUUUUUGUUCCUUUUGAUUCUUUUUUUUUUUGGGUCUUUUCAUUUGAAACACAAGGCAUCUUCCAAACGACGCCAUUUCUAGACCGUGUGGAACCAUGCCUCCUACAGAAACUUUUCGGAAAGCCCCAAGUGUGCUCUCUGGCUUGUCCAAGGGUCUAAAGACCAUGGGUGCGGUUUACACACGUGAAGAGAUUUCAUUGCGGUCUCAAAGCCAAAGGAUAUAUGCUAUUGCGAUACAUAUAUUAACGGGUGCGAUCAUACCAGCAUUAAUGCAUCGGUUCCCAUCAGAACUCCGUAGUAAAGCGUGCUUGGGCGAGAGUAGUACUAGGAUGGGUGACCUCCUGGGCAGUCCUCGUGUUGCACCAUUUUUUUGUUCCUCUUGAUUCUUUUUUUUUUUUGGGUCUUUUCAUUUGAAAAACAAGGCAUCUUCCGAACGACGCCAUUUCUAGACCGUGUGGAACCAUACCUCCUACAACAACUUUUCAGAAAGCCCCAAGAGUACUCUCGGGCGUGCCCAAGGGUCUAAAGACCAUGGGUGCGGUUUACAAGGCCAAAAUUUUGAGUUUUAGACCCUCUUCCGGGCCCUUUUCCAAACAAAAGCCCCGGUUAAAGUGUCGUCAAACGUUGUGUCCUAAUUUAUAUAUCUUGCAAUGAAUGCUCGUCGCAGCUGGGUGGGAAAAGCCAUAUAAAAAGUGUUACACACGCCAAGAGAUUUCAUUGCGGACUCAAAACCAAAGGAUAUAUGCUAUUGCGAUACAUAUACUAACGGGUGUGAUCAUAACAGCACUAAUGCACCGGAUAUCAUCAGAACUCCGCAGUAAAGCGUGCUUGGGCGAGAGUUGGACUAGGAUGGGUGACCUCCUUGGUAGUCCUUGUCUUGCACCCCUUUUUUGUUCCUUUUGAUUCCUUUUUUUUUUUUGGGUCUUUUCAUUUGAAACACAAGGCAUCUUCCGAACGACGCCAUUUCUAGACCGUGUGGAACCAUGCCUCCUACAGCAACUUUUCGGAAAGCCCCAAGUGUGCUCUCUGGCUUGUCCAAGGGUCUAAAGACCAUGGGUGCGGUUUACAAGGCCAAAAUUUUAAGUUUUGGACCCUCUUCCGGGCCCUUUUCUAAAACAUAAGCCCCGGUUUAAGUGUCGUUAAACGUGGUGUCCUAACUUAUAUAUCUUG